GAUGAAGUUAGAUGAUUGGAGAAAGUGUUGUGAUCUUUUCGCAUCUCCAGAUUAUCAGCACUUGAGUUCUACAAAUGCACAUAAUAGAUCCGCUCUGACUGUUCACCAUCGUGCCGAUUUAAGGUCAUUCCACCAUCUUGCUGAAAAAAUGAAACGUGAUGAUCCUGAAAACUUUUCCCUCAUUCAUGUCUAUACUGCUGC